rnacentral:rRNA from 1 species
UACGGGGGGGGCAAGCGUUGUUCGGAAUUACUGGGCGUAAAGGGCUCGUAGGCGGCCAACUAAGUCAGACGUGAAAUCCCCAGGCUCAACCUGGGAACUGCGUCUGAUACUGGAUGGCUUGAAUCCGGGAGAGGGAUGCAGAAUUCCAGGUGUAGCGGUGAAAUGCGUAGAUAUCUGGAGGAAUACCGGUGGCGAAGGCGGCAUCCUGGACCGGCAUUGACGCUGAGGAGCGAAAGCUAGGGGAGCAAACGGGG